GCUGACACAUCCCGGCCAAUCUCCAGCAGAUCCUCCCUCCCAGACCCUCCUACUUCCUGGACAGCAUCCAUGUUGAAGCUGCCUUCAACAUGGAUGCUGUCCAGGAGGUGGGAGGGUCUGGGAGGGAGGGUCUGCCGGAGAUUGGCAGGGAUGUGUCAG